AUAUUAACUGUGCAUACCUGUGUAUUUCAUUGGGUUAUUGCAGAGCCUGCAGAAGAUUGAAUUAAUUCUAUCAAAGUCUUAAGAGAAAUCCCUGUGUUACUGAAGCUUCAGUAGUAGGAGGAAGAGAGGGGGGCACCAAUUUGUCUUUUUAUUUUUUGUCAGGACCCUUUGCAAUGGAUGACAGAGCAGACUCUCUGAUGACUGUGCAUCUUCUUACCAAUUUGGGUCACUCAUUGCCUCUGCAGCAAACUCUGGAUCGGCUUUUGGAGUGGAUCUGCCUGGACAUUCGCCUUUUCCUGGUGUCUGAGCGAGUUACUCCACUGAAAUACUAUGAGAGGCAUCGUAAGAGAAGCUGCAGUUUUCCUGGAAUAUCUGUCCUCCUUUUUCUACAUGAAGACUUGGGAGAAGAACGGAUUUUCCAGGUCCAUGAGCAAUUCCAGCGUUUGCCCUGGCGCUACCAGUGUGCCCAGAUUGCUAAUGGGCAAAGCCACCCCUAUGCCCCAGCUCACCAGGACUUCUAUGGCCUGGACGACCAGAUGCCUGUGUGGGGCAUCAGGCGGGUGCACUGUGGCCCCGAAAUCCUGCGUGUCACCCUCUACUGCACUUUUGAUAACUAUGAGGAUGCAGUGAGACUCUACGAGAUGAUCCUGCAGAAAGAAGCAACUAUGCAGAAAGGUAACUUCUGUGUCUUUGUGUUGUACGCAACACAAAAUGUUGCUGUGCAACUCUGCUUGAAGCAGCUGCCCAUUGGGGUGGCUGCUGAGCCAAAGGAGUCGUCAGCCUUGCAGUUCAAGGUGCAAGAAAUCGGGCAGCUGGUGCCUCUCCUGCCUAACCCAUGUAUUCCUAUCAGUAGCACCAGGUGGCAAACACAAGACUACGAAGGAAAUAUAAUUCUGCUUCAGGUUCAAGACAGCUUCAAGCCCCGUGAAACAAAUGUUGGGCUUUUCCAUCAGGGUAAUGCCGGUAAUGAAAAAAUCCUGCAGGACUCUGUCUCAGCCCCUCUCCCUGUAAAGUGGGGUAAUCCUGGGAAGAGAAACCAGGAGGUCAGAGCUGUGAAGGGUAAAGCAAAAUCUGACACAAGUGAAGCCCUUGCUCCUGAGCAAGCCAGCCACGACCUCCACAGGCAAUUCUGCUCUUCUCACAGUGGUGCAGCAGCCUGGUCGUGGUGGGAUGCCACCUCCCUCCGCAGGCAGGUGAGCAGCAAGCUGCAGGCUUCUCUCCCAGAGAUCCGUGUUCGUCGGCAGGCAGCGGAGACCAAUGUGGACACCGGGCUCACUGUGGCAAAUCCUGCGAGCGGCCGCUGCCUGCUGAGCCGCUUCUCCAGGGACCUGCGGAGCAGCCUCCUCCAGCCACGGGCACCCAUGGAUGGGGCCGGCAGCGCCCUGCCCUCCCAGGACAGGAUCCAGCUGCUGUUUGCUGCAGCCAAAAGGAGUAAAGGAGGAGGAGGGCAAAGAGCUUCAGGCUUCCACUCGCAAACAGCACGAGCCAGCCCUGCAAACAGAGCGGAGGAUGAGGAGGAGGAAUUCUUUAUAUGACUGAAAACAAACGUGCCAGAUGUGCUCUGCUGUCAUUUGUAAAUGAUGAGUCUUUCCAUGUGCAUUGUGCUUCCUCAUGCUGUGACUGCUGAUGCUCGGCUUACCUCUGUAACUGUGGCAUUUCAGUAGUGGGUUCAGUGCUUACUUUCCAUGGAGUGAUGCUAAGGAGGCUGUGGGCUGAGCAGGAAAAACAACACUGUAUUUACAGAUAGGUUUAUUUUUUUAAUGCAAAAUAGAUUGGAGUAUUGUUGUGCAAUGAAUAGGAAUAAGCCAUAUAGAGCUGUUCUAAGAUGCUAAAAAAUAGCCAGUGACAUCCUCAGAUGGGGUUAGAAGGCGCAGUUUGCCUGAGCUGCCCAAGCAGCUGGGUGCCCCCAGCCAUGGAGCCUCAUCAUCCCUCACCGGGCCAUAUUGGAACAUGGUAGCGGCAUGGUCACAGUGCUUAUGCCAAUUUUCCUCUGUGUAUCAGUGGUGCCAAUUUUAUGCAAAUAUGAAACUUAAGAAUGGUCUUUUAAAAUAUUUUUGAAGAACAAUGUUUCUGGAGAGACCUUUUCCCCAAAUUAACACAGUACACACACACAAAAAAAAGCAAACACUUGCAGAGAAUAUUUUGAGCUGUGUUUAUGUUCCAGUAAGACCUGCUGUUGCUUCUUCAUAUGACACUUUAAAAAAAAAAAAAAACAGCAUCAGGCCAGGCUUUUAGACCAAUGUGCAGUUAUCAGCAAGCAAUCCUAAUUGGUUUUUAAUUAACAGAAGAUAAGAGAAGUUAAGAGUCUUGGAGGGAACUGCUGAAUGCUGGAGAGUACAAGGGAUGGGAGAAAUGAAGUAAUGUUUCAGUGACAGAUGCUGAAGUAACUCCCAUCUUGAUCAGCAGAUUUCUCAAGUAGGAUUAAGUAAAUCUCAAAGGGAAAGAGAUGGAAAGGGCAUGACAGAAGAAUGAAAUUUUUAAAAGAAAAGCCAAAUCUGAUCAUACUUACCUUCCAGACAGCACAACAAAGAGGUAUUUUUUCCUUAACUAUAGCUGAAUUCUGCUUUACACAAAAGUCUGAGUUUGUUUGGAGAGUGCCUUCUCAUUGCUGCCUCUUAGUUCAUAACUCAGGUUUGACAGGCAAUGGCUUCUUGCUGCCCAAAGGGAGCAGAGAGUGAUGGGCAGCAGCAGAGCCUUCCUGCAGGGAGUUCUGUGCAAUUUUAUGGGUAUUUACUUGUCUGUGUGCCAGAUGAACACAGCCCACGCUGCACUGCAUGAGCUGUGUUACCCAGGGAAUUCCAAACCCUCCCCUCUGCUGCUGGUGGGCUGUGCAGCCCAGUGGGACUAGAGCGCGAUGCUGUGCCUGGAUGUUAGCUCUGGCUUUGGGAAGGCCCAGCCUGUUGGGGAAGUCUGAAGGCAGAGCUGAGUUGGUCUGAAGAGCUGCGGGUGGGAAUAGGGCAGUCCCUGCUCUGUGCCUCUGCAGUCUCACAGCUGGUGUUGCCCUGGAAGUGACGCUCAUGUACCCUUCGAUUCAGGGACUGAAACCUGCACAGAGGAACAGGACACUUAUUUUACUGAACACUUACAAAACUCUGCUAUGUUUUCAUAAGCUC